rnacentral:ncRNA from 1 species
CGACCCCAGGUCAGGCGGGACUACCCGCUGAGUUUAAGCAUAUAAAUAAGCGGAGGAGAAGAAACUUACAAGGAUUCCCCUAGUAACGGCGAGCGAACCGGGAGCAGCCCAGCUUGAGAAUCGGGCGGCUGUGCCGUCCGAAUUGUAGUCUGGAGAGGCGUCCUUAGCGACGGACCGGGCCCAAGUCCCCUGGAAAGGGGCGCCUGGGAGGGUGAGAGCCCCGUCCGGCCCGGACCCUGUCGCCCCACGAGGCGCCGUCAACGAGUCGGGUUGUUUGGGAAUGCAGCCCAAAUCGGGCGGUAGACUCCGUCCAAGGCUAAAUACA